CGUCUACAACGCAACGACCUGCCAAGCCAGCUAUAACUUUCGGGCCCCUUUAGCACAACAUCAGUCAUAUGAUUGUAAGUUAGAUGAUUUAGUCUAAGAUUUGAUACACUUAUUGUUAGUAUCCAAAGGGAGAAGAUUCAAUAAAUAAAUGCAAAGCAUUUAAAAAAAAAAAAAGGAAAAAUCAGGUUUUAGUAUCCUUAAAAUAGGAUUGAAUUAUUCUCAUUAAUAGUACAAAACUUCAAAAAUAAAAGGUAUGUCAACGAGUACAGAUUGUGCUUAAGUCAAUAAUAGAACGCACUUAUUAUGUUUGCUAUGAAAGAACAAAUGUUGCUUAAUUCUAAUAGGAAAUUAAUAAUUGCCCUUAUAUACUCUGAAUCGCAUAUAUUACCGUACGCUUCUGUUUUUAAAACAUUACAAAUUUUACGAGUACAUAUGAACAAAGAACACAACGAAUUGAAUAUUAUUUAUAAUUAAUAAUGAAGUUCUCCAAACAACCACAUUUUGUGCUUAGAUCGGAGAAAGAAAUGAAAAAUGUAUAAUUGUCCUUAUAUACAUAUGUACUCUGAAACGGAAAACGGAAAUACGUCAGGAUUUUUCAUACAGUCCAAUCUACGCCUGGUCGCUUAUACACAUCCCCAAUUGUGCAAUUUUGUUGUAAAAAAAUUGACACAAGUGUAAGUGUUAUCUUAUUAUGUAAGCGAUGGGCUGAAAAAAUAUCGAUAGUUUGAAGCUUGCCCAAAACAAAAAGUAUUCAUUUGAAUCAAAGCAUUAAAAAAAGUAUAAAGAACUCUUUAAUUAAUAUAUAUAUUAAUAUAUAUAUAUAUAUGAAUAUAUUUAAUAGGUAAAGUUAACUAUAGAACAAAAAUCUCGAUACCAACGCGAGAUGAUAUUUGAUAUAUCGAUACAAGUGAAUGGUAGCCCCAGCUCUAGAAAGGAGCCAUUCACUUUUGAUCUGAUCGCGGGUGCCAAAGUUAUGUGAAAAUGAGUGCAAAAAGUGACGCGAAGCUGGAAGAGUUUUUAAAAGAAUAUGAACUGGAAGAUGUUUGGGACUACCUCGAAACUUAUUUUAUUACCUUUUCAUAGAUUUAUAUAUCUGAAUACUGUUCUUUAAAUUUAAAGAAUAAACAUGGUUAAAAAAACCGAAUAUUAAUGUUCUUUUAACUAAGGAAGAUUUAAAGGAAUCCGUUCCACCUUUGGGUCCUAGGUCAAGAUUUCGAGAGAAGCUGCUGGAGAAAAUCAAUAGUAAGUAAUUUCUGAAGUUCUAACAAGUAUUAAAUAUUUUUGAAUGCAGACGCCGCCUAAAUUUUAUUAUAAGGCAAAGCAGGUGCUAGGCAAAAGCUUGGGCACUUUAUUGGCGGAGACCAAUAGAGGGAGAACUAUUUUGGGUCAAGGAAAAAAACAGAUGUCUUUAAGCCUGGAUAUGAAGAACGAUCUUAUAAGCAUUAUCCUUGUGGAGAUCUUCUCAACAGGGAUAACUAUCAAAUAUUCAGAUUUUAGUCUGUUGCUGGACGAAAUUUGCUGUCUUUUACCUGGCGAAGAGAAAUGCAAGGAUUACUACUUCAUUUCCCGAGACGGUAAAAAACAUCCAUCGGGCAAACUGUAUUCCAAAUACAAAAUCGAAGAUCAAGGAUCAAGCUAGAACUACUGAAGAUUUGGAAAACCAAACCACCGAAGACUCAGAAUCGGAUUGUAUCGCACUUUCUCUGAAGUUUUCUCUUAAUAGAGAUGGUGUCAAUUGGGACUUAGUGCGCGAGAAAUGGAAGAAGACCUUCCAUCUUCGCCAACAAUAGAUUGAAAUUGGUUUUGAAAUGAUGUACCCAAGGAGAAGCUCGUUUUUGUUUUCGAAAUGGGAGCCGUUUAAAAAUAAAAUCUUCAAUUUCUAUUACUACAACAUUUCAAACGAAGCUUGUAAAUGGCUGCUUAAACAAGCAAAAUUAUGCAAGAAAAUUGGACUGAUCAGCAUUCUUCUGUACGCGGCUUUACCAUCGAUUGCGCGCUUGUUCAUAUAUGAAAAAAAUAUUCAAGAAUUCAUAUCCCUUCCAAUUCAUGUCUAUACUUUAAAUAAUUGUAAGUUUUAUAUAGGGCUGAAGUAUGUAUAACAUAUAACGCAAGUUAUAUCAAAAUUAUCAUUAUAUCAAAAUCAAUGAUGCGAUACAUUAAAACCAUAAAAUAAAUCUAAAACUAAAAAAAACCUCCUUUUUUUUCUGCAAGCCCAAUGCCUUCUUAAUUGAAGAAUUAUAAGUUCUUAUGUAAAGAACUUUUUCGGCUGGAUUAUAGAAUUUUAAACUCUUAAUGGAGCAUGAUUUGUUCUUAUUAUAAGACCAAGUUAUGUUAAAGAUAAUGCAUUUUAAUUCUUAAAAUGAGUACAUACUGUUCUUGAGGGUAGUAUGAAUAAUUCUUUUCUGAAGACUAAGUCCAGUUUAAAAUGAGAAUUAUAUAUUUUUGAUGCAAGCUGCAUAUCAUCUUGAUAUAAGCAUUGGCCAUAGUUCGCUUAAGAACAUUUUAGACCUGUUUUAAGAAAAAA